CUGGUCACACUGCUACCUGCACAACAAAAACAACGCACAGCCUUAGCUACCAAAUAUUUUUGUAUCAGAAUUUCACCUACUCUUUUAGGACUUUUAGAAAAAUUAAAACCUUCUAAAGAUACCACCUACCGUCCGUAGGUGCCAUGAACCAUUCAUAAUCCAUAGUGGAAUUAUGCCUACGUACGUCCUUGCACGCUCAACGGGACUGCCAGUCAAGGUAUGACUUCGAUGAUGUGAAGCCAGGUCGCACUCCUUCCUUCAUUGUAGGCCAUGAGUGCUCCUCCUUCCACCCUUUAGUCGCUUUUUACGCCAAGCCGGGAACGCUGAGGUAGUAUUCUUACCACCCACCACACUGGACACCUGUUUGGGCUUAGCCACACACUCUGUGGCCAUCUCGUCUGAUCGGUCUCGUUCCAUCAUCUUAACUGGGUUAGGUGGUAGUCCAAUCAUUUGUUUUGGCACUCUGCCCAAACCGCCAACUCAAACGUUUCACAGUUUUUUUAACUGACAAUAUCCGUCUGAUCGUAUAAGAGCUUGUAUAAGAGUUUGUAUAAGAGUUUUUGCUUGUUUACAUGAUCCGCUGUGAGCUUUCAAAGUAAACAUAUGUUUUAACAUAUUUGGCGUUACGGUUUCGUGUUUGUUGAUUGGCCGUUAAUUGAAACAAAGCAAAACAAAUUGAUUCAACAACUUCUGUUAACUUUAGUAAAUGAAUUAUAUCCAACUUCGACCAACUGUAAAGUCUGUUGUACUUUUUAGAUGAAAUGUCAAAUGAGCCCGCAAAGAGAGAGCCCUUGUUUUAAAAGAAUUGGUAUUUGGUACAAUUUUAAAGAACCGCCAGCUUUUUGAAAUGGAAUCUGAAAGGAUUACUAGAAAAUUAACUAGUUUUAUGAGCCGUCUUACAGAAAAAUGAAUUUUGCCGUGGAACUUCAGGCGGGAGUGGAGGCCGAGCUGGACAUUGAGCUCUUCCGUGAGCCACUGAACCGUGCCGGUGGCGCCAACUACGGAACGGGCAUCCGGGAUAACUGAGCGGCCUCCAAGUUACUUUAUAUAUACAUUUUUUUUUUUGCAACUCUUAACUGCUUACCAAACUGCUCCUUUCUCUUUAAUUAUUAUGAAUUAAUUUUAUGAAAUUUAAAAACUGUACAUUUUAUGAAAUAUUAUACAAGCAAUUGUACAAUUACUGGGUCCUCUUUUCGUAUCAUCCGUAGUGGCAUUAAGGAUUCAAAAAUGGUACAAGAAAAAUCAAUACCAAAUUUCAAAAGCGUAUGUAAAAGCGAUCGAUAAAAAUUCGAUGCCAUGUGUUUAUAGUGGAACUGCUGAAUUUCUUUGAUGAUAAGACAAAAAUUUUGCUCACUUGAUACUAAAUACUAAAGUGGACAGAUAUGCCAGAAUUCACAUUAGAAAAUAAAAAAAAACUGUUCGUCUA